UCUUUGGAGCAACAUUUACUCGUGAAGUGGGUCAGGGGAGGAAUCCAGCAGCCCUAAGUGAUGCUAAAUGUGUGCUCUUUUUAUUU
rnacentral:SRP_RNA from 1 species